AGACACAUUCAUGAAAUGGAGAGCUUGAGCCUAAGUGAAUGUAAUCACAAGUGACAAGGCAAUUCUCCAGUGCUGCCUCAGCUGCUUCUCUUUGCCCAUCCGUAAAGGGAAGGAAUACACGGGCUGUUCGCAAGCAGCAGGUUCUCAGUGGAAACUAGGACAGAUGAUUUGAGCUUUGUCUUCCAUCAGAGGAAUCUGAUUAGAGCCAGCACUGAACUCCUCUUCUGAAGUUCCUCAGUGUUUUAAAACUGGGAUUUGGGAGUAUCUUCAGUAAGCCUGAGCAUCACUGAUCAGCAAAUGGAGGUGUCC